UACGAAGGGGGCUAGCGUUGCUCGGAAUCACUGGGCGUAAAGCGCACGUAGGCGGAUUGCUAAGUCAGGGGUGAAAUCUCGGAGCUUAACUCCGAAACUGCAUUCGAUACUGCCGUGCUUGAGGACUGGAGAGGAGACUGGAAUUUACGGUGUAGCGGUGAAAUGCGUAGAUAUCGUAAGGAAGACCAGUGGCGAAGGCGGGUCUCUGGACAGUUCCUGACGCUGAGGCACGAAGGUCAGGGGAGCAAACGGG
rnacentral:rRNA from 1 species